GUCCGGUCCUCUACACGUGCCUUAUCAGCCCCACCAUCUGAUCUGUCAACCCCUCUCAUGGGAAUUUUAAUCCCAUUCUCAUCUACUAGACAAUACACACCUCCUUCCCUCACGCACAUUUUCAUCAUAUGUAGUAGUUCUAAAUCUAUUCUGUCGUCCCCAAUUAAAUGCAUUAACCUAUGUGCCUUACCAACAAAUCCAAAAUGCACAGAAAUAGCUGUAAUGAGUCCCCCAACUACUAUUUUCCCAUUCCCUCUGGCUACAUGACUAAACUGGUUGCUAAGCCAGUACCCUGUGUUCACUCGUUGCCCAGUCUCCAUA
rnacentral:misc_RNA from 1 species